AGAAAACUACAACCCCUAUCCGCCCGGGUACUACGAGCAUAAGCUUAAAACCCAAAGGACUUGGCGGUGCUUUAGACCCCCCUAGAGGAGCCUGUUCUAGAACCGAUAACCCCCGUUCAACCUCACCUUUUCUUGCCCAUCCCGCCUAUAUACCGCCGUCGUCAGCAUACCCUGUGAAGGAAUCACAGUAGGCAAAACUGGUAAAACCCAAAACGUCAGGUCGAGGUGUAGCACACGAAAAGGAAAGAAAUGGGCUACAUUUCCUCUCCCAGGAAACACGAAUUGUGCCAUGAAACAACAAAUGAAGGAGGAUUUAGCAGUAAGCAGAAAGCAGAGCGUUC
rnacentral:rRNA from 1 species